rnacentral:rRNA from 1 species
UGGAUAGUGGUUGCGAGCAUCAAAUGGAUGCGCUUGCCCGCAGGUAGCGUGUUCUUUUGUGCAAUUUUAUUCUUUGGUUUUUGUGUUUGUAAGUGUCUAAGGGCGCAUGGUGGAUGCCUUGGCAUCGAGAGCCGAUGAAGGACGUGGGAGGCUGCGAUAAGCCUCGGGGAGCUGUCAACCGAGCGUGGAUCCGAGGAUUUCCGAAUGGGGAAACCCAGCACGAGUAAUGUCGUGUUACCCGUAUCUGAAUAUAUAGGGUGCGGGAGGGAACGCGGGGAAGUGAAACAUCUCAGUACCCGUAGGAGAAGAAAACAAAAGUGAUUCCGUCAGUAGUGGCGAGCGAACGCGGAACAUGGCUAAACCGCACGCAUGGGUGACCGGGUAGGGGUUGUGUGUGCGGGGUUGUGGGAUCGAUACGUCUCAGCUCUACCCGGCUGAGGGGCAGUCAGAAAGUGUCGUGGUUAACGGAAGUGGCCUGGGAUGGUCUGCCGUAGACGGUGAGAGCCCGGUACGUGAAAACCCGGCACCUGCCUUGUAUCAAUUCCCGAGUAGCAGCGGGCCCGUGGAAUCUGCUGUGAAUCUGCCGGGACCACCCGGUAAGCCUAAAUACUCCUCGAUGACCGAUAGCGGAUUAGUACCGUGAGGGAAUGGUGAAAAGUACCCCGGGAGGGGAGUGAAAGAGUACCUGAAACCGUGUGCCUACAAUCCGUCAGAGCCCCUUUGUGGGGUGAUGGCGUGCCUUUUGAAGAAUGAGCCUGCGAGUCAGGGACAUGUCGCGAGGUUAACCCGAGCGGGGUAGCCGCAGCGAAAGCGAGUCUGAAUAGGGCGUAUCACGCGUAAGCGUGUGUAGUGGCGUGUUCUGGACCCGAAGCGGAGUGAUCUACCCAUGGCCAGGGUGAAGCGCGGGCAAGACCGCGUGGAGGCCCGAACCCACUUAGGUUGAAGACUGAGGGGAUGAGCUGUGGGUAGGGGUGAAAGGCCAAUCAAACUCCGUGAUAGCUGGUUCUCCCCGAAAUGCAUUUAGGUGCAGCGUUGCGUGUUUCACCACGGAGGUAGAGCUACUGGAUGGCCGAUGGGCCCCACUAGGUUACUGACGUCAGCCAAACUCCGAAUGCCGUGGUGUAUAGCGUGGCAGUGAGACGGCGGGGGAUAAGCUCCGUACGUCGAAAGGGAAACAGCCCAGAUCGCCGGCUAAGGCCCCAAAGCGUGUGCUAAGUGGGAAAGGAUGUGCAGUCGCAGAGACAACCAGGAGGUUGGCUUAGAAGCAGCCACCCUUGAAAGAGUGCGUAAUAGCUCACUGGUCAAGUGAUUGUGCGCCGAUAAUGUAGCGGGGCUCAAGCACACCGCCGAAGCCGCGACAACCGCAAGGUUGGGUAGGGGAGCGUCCCUCAUUCAGCGAAGCCGCCGGGUGACCGGUGGUGGAGGAUGGGGGAGUGAGAAUGCAGGCAUGAGUAGCGAUAAGGCAAGUGAGAACCUUGCCCGCCGAAAGACCAAGGGUUCCUGGGCCAGGCCAGUCCGCCCAGGGUGAGUCGGGACCUAAGGCGAGGCCGACAGGCGUAGUCGAUGGACAACGGGUUGAUAUUCCCGUACCCGUGUGUGGGCGCCCGUGAUGAAUCAGCGGUACUAACCACCCAAAACCGGAUCGAUCACUCCCCUUCGGGGGAGUGGAGGUCUGGGGCUGCGUGGAGCCUUCGCUGGUAGUAGUCAAGCGAUGGGGUGACGCAGGAAGGCAGCCGUACCAGUCAGUGGUAAUACUGGGGCAAGCCAGUAGGGAGAGCGAUAGGCAAAUCCGUCGCUCACAAAUCCUGAGAGGUGACGCAUAGCCGAUUGAGGCGAAUUCGGUGAUCCUCUGCUGCCAAGAAAAGCCUCUAGCGAGCACACACACGGCCCGUACCCCAAACCGACACAGG